rnacentral:rRNA from 1 species
UACGAAGGGGGCUAGCGUUGUUCGGAAUUACUGGGCGUAAAGCGCACGUAGGCGGAUUGUAAGUCAGGGGUGAAAUCCCGGGGCUCAACCUCGGAACUGCCUUUGAUACUGCAAGUCUCGAGUCCGAUAGAGGUGAGUGGAAUUCCUAGUGUAGAGGUGAAAUUCGUAGAUAUUAGGAAGAACACCAGUGGCGAAGGCGGACUCACUGGAUCGGUACUGACGCUGAGGUGCGAAAGCGUGGGGAGCAAACAGG